rnacentral:rRNA from 1 species
AUUGAACGCUGGCGGCAUGCUUUACACAUGCAAGUCGAGCGGCAGCGCGGGGGCAACCCUGGCGGCGAGCUGCGAACGGGUGAGUAAUGCAUCGGAACGUAUCCUCGAGUGGGGGAUAACCCAGCGAAAGUUGGGCUAAUACCGCAUGAGCUCUGAGGAGGAAAGCGGGGGACCUGCGAGGGCCUCGCGCUGGAGGAGCGGCCGAUGUCCGAUUAGCUAGUUGGUGGGGUAAAGGCUUACCAAGGCGACGAUCGGUAGCUGGUCUGAGAGGAUGAUCAGCCACACUGGGACUGAGACACGGCCCAGACUCCUACGGGAGGCAGCAGUGGGGAAUUUUGGACAAUGGGGGCAACCCUGAUCCAGCCAUGCCGCGUGAGUGAAGAAGGCCUUCGGGUUGUAAAGCUCUUUCGGACGGAACGAAAUGGGCGGGACUAAUACUCCUGUCUGAUGACGGUACCGUAAGAAGAAGCACCGGCUAACUACGUG